UUGCUUCUCUUGAGAGCGGCGGACGGGUGAGUAAUGCCUAGGAAUCUGCCUAGUGGUGGGGGAUAACGUUCGGAAACGGACACUAAUACCGCAUACGUCCUACGGGAGAAAGCGGGGGAUCUUCGGACCUCGCGCCAUUAGAUGAGCCUAGGUCGGAUUAGCUAGUUGGUGAGGUAAUGGCUCACCAAGGCGACGAUCCGUAACUGGUCUGAGAGGAUGAUCAGUCACACUGGAACUGAGACACGGUCCAGACUCCUACGGGAGGCAGCAGUGGGGAAUAUUGGACGAUGGGCGAAAGCCUGAUCCAGCCAUGCCGCGUGUGUGAAGAAGGUCUUCGGAUUGUAAAGCACUUUAAGUUGGGAGGAAGGGUAGUAACCUAAUACGUUGCUACUUUGACGUUACCGACAGAAUAAGCACCGGCUAACUUCGUGCCAGCAGCCGCGGUAAUACGAAGGGUGCAAGCGUUAAUCGGAAUUACUGGGCGUAAAGCGCGCGUAGGUGGUUCAGUAAGUUGGAAGUGAAAUCCCCGGGCUCAACCUGGGAACUGCUUUCAAAACUGCUGAGCUAGAGUACGGUAGAGGGUGGUGGAAUUUCCUGUGUAGCGGUGAAAUGCGUAGAUAUAGGAAGGAACACCAGUGGCGAAGGCGACCACCUGGACUGAUACUGACACUGAGGUGCGAAAGCGUGGGGAGCAAACAGGAUUAGAUACCCUGGUAGUCCACGCCGUAAACGAUGUCAACUAGCCGUUGGAAUCCUUGAGAUUUUAGUGGCGCAGCUAACGCAUUAAGUUGACCGCCUGG
rnacentral:rRNA from 1 species